rnacentral:lncRNA from 1 species
AACUAUAUAGGGAUCGAUAGAAUCAAAUUUCAAGCCAAAAAGCUUAGUCCGUAAAGUAAAUUUCAAUUCUUCCAAAAUAAAAGAACCUAAACACGCCCGAGAAAACAAAUUUACAAGUCACAAGCCACAGGGAUGAACAGCAACACCUCUCGGAAGCCUAGCCAGUUGUCCUCCUUCCCUGGCUCCCUGCACCAGAACGCCUGCGAAAGCUACAUAGGCUAUUACAGAGAUAAGAGGGGUAAGAACGACGCUGAAAACUGACUCAAGCAUCCAACCGACUCAUGAGCAUGGCGAGGUCUAAGUUCCCAGCCA